UAGCUCAGUGGUAGAGCUCCUGUAUAGGACACAUGAGGCCCUGGGUUAAAUCCCCAG
rnacentral:tRNA from 1 species